rnacentral:lncRNA from 1 species
CACAGAAGAGAACCAUGGAACCCAGUGACUAGUGUUCAGCUCUAUUAGGACGAACCCAGGCACUUAGCCAUGCAGGAACAAUGGCAAGCCUUUAGCCCGAUCGGGAGUGGCAAUGGGCGCCUCGAUGGAUCAGGAGCACAGCGGACACCCUGCCAGAUCUGGAGGGAUGGAAGUCAGCGGUGGGUCUGCGAAAGCGCAAACAGGAGUGGUGGACAGCAAGUGAAAGCUCACCUCGAGCCGUAAGGAACACGGAACAAAAGAGAGUGCAGUUGCAAGAUUUAAUAGAGUGAAGACAGAGCUCCCAUACAAAAAGAGAGGACCCAAAGAGGUCAUCAGUUAGAUGAAUAUGUAUUUGAAAGCUGUUCAUUCAUUGUGGAGAUGUGGGUAGACAGCAGUAAAUAUGCCCCAUGGCACUGAUUAACUCAAAGUGGCUCCAGGCCAAAGAUUUUAUGCUUCAGUGGAGAUAUUUUUGCCAUCAGCAGGACUUUGUUGACCAUACAUUAUGAGGGAAAUAUUUAAUACUAUUUGGAGACUGAUAUAUUUUCCUCUUAUCUAGAGUAAAAUAAAUUAUAAGAAGUGAUGAAAACAACCAUUUAAUUAGACUUACAAUGGCUAUUGAGUUAAUCUUCAAGUUAUUUUCCUACGGGCCCUUUUAAGAGAAGGUUGGAAAGAAGGAACCAUGUUUACCAGAGAUGUUUCCCAAGAUGGACAACAGACUGACCAUGUUGAUUCAGAACUAAGUACUAAUAAAAAGGAGUUUAAUAAGAAGUCUAAUAGAAAUCAAAUUGUAUUUAUCAACUUUAAUUCUAUUUUAAUGCACGAGUCCUAACAGCCAAACGACUAAUAUGCUGACAUUUCUUAAUUCAUUUUUU